AUGGCGAGCCAUGCCGCCCCAGUAGUUCCCCACGCCCCUCUUCUGCAGCGUUGCGCCCGAGCUCCUUCCUCGCGGCAUCGCCACCGCAACCUGCAGGCACUCGAGCAAGAUCCCCCGACGUUGCCCACACCCGCUCCCCUUGCCAUAAUCCGCCUCGCCAUCACCGUCGAACCGCGCGCCCUCGACCUCCCUGGCUUCACCGACCCCUUCCACGAGCUCCGCUGUGAGCCUCUCUGA
rnacentral:rRNA from 1 species